GGCUUAUAGAUUAGUGACCUACAUUCAACAUCAGUCAAAGGAACACUGGUACCCAAUUCUUCUGGAAAUACAGCUGAAAUGCAGAUAGAAAAACGCAUCAAUGAACAUCUUUAGUAAUUACUGAGACUGCUGGACAUUUUCCCUGUGCUCAACUCUGGUUUCUUAAGAGGAUGUCACAGUUCUCUUCUGUUUUACUCCUUUCCCCUCUUUCAGGAGUUUUGGCUAUAUAUAUGCACGCCACUUGCAAGCCUACUAGCGUCUGCAGAGCUCAGAAGAGGGCAUCAGAGUUCCUAGGACUGGAGGUACAGAAGGUUGUGAGCUGCUAUGUCGGUGCUGAGAAUUGAACCUGGGUUCUCUGCAAGAGCAACAGUGUUUUUAAUUGCUGAGCCAACUCUCGAGUCCAGAAAAGCUAUUUGAACUGUGUUUAAAUGAUCAGUCAUAUUUUCAGGAGUCACCAUCCUACAUAUUUUCAUUCUGUUUUUACUGCUCCUGUUGCUUGGAGAGUCACUAGAGGGAGCAGUGUUAAGACACUGAUUUCAGACUCAGGCGGGGUGAUGAAGGCUCAAGCCCCACAACUGAAAAGACCAUCUAAAUAGAAAACAACUGUGGCCAUCCGGAAAGUCCUGCCAUGUUAUUUUAAAGCUACAUAACUUGGUAAGAAGUAUCAUUGUAAAGGUAUAGUAACGGUCUAAUCUCCAAAAGUUGUUGAGGCAAGAAGGAUCAUUAAAUAAAAA